GAUGAACGCUGGCGGCGUGCCUAAUACAUGCAAGUCGAGCGAACAGACGAGGAGCUUGCUCCUUUGACGUUAGCGGCGGACGGGUGAGUAACACGUGGGUAACCUACCUAUAAGACUGGGAUAACUUCGGGAAACCGGAGCUAAUACCGGAUAAUAUUUCGAACCGCAUGGUUCGAUAGUGAAAGAUGGCUUUGCUAUCACUUAUAGAUGGACCUGCGCCGUAUUAGCUAGUUGGUAAGGUAACGGCUUACCAAGGCAACGAUACGUAGCCGACCUGAGAGGGUGAUCGGCCACACUGGAACUGAGACACGGUCCAGACUCCUACGGGAGGCAGCAGUGGGGAAUCUUCCGCAAUGGGCGAAAGCCUGACGGAGCAACGCCGCGUGAGUGAUGAAGGUCUUCGGAUCGUAAAACUCUGUUAUUAGGGAAGAACAAACGUGUAAGUAACUGUGCACGUCUUGACGGUACCUAAUCAGAAAGCCACGGCUAACUACGUG
rnacentral:rRNA from 1 species